GACGAACGCUGGCGGCGUGCCUAAUACAUGCAAGUAGAACGCACAGUUUAUACCGUAGCUUGCUACACCAUAGACUGUGAGUUGCGAACGGGUGAGUAACGCGUAGGUAACCUGCCUGGUAGCGGGGGAUAACUAUUGGAAACGAUAGCUAAUACCGCAUAAUAUUAAUUAUUGCAUGAUAAUUAAUUGAAAGGUGCAAUUGCACCACUACCAGAUGGACCUGCGUUGUAUUAGCUAGUAGGUGAGGUAACGGCUCACCUAGGCGACGAUACAUAGCCGACCUGAGGGAGUGAUCGGCCACACUGGGACUGAGACACGGCCCAGACUCCUACGGGAGGCAGCAGUAGGGAAUCUUAGGCAAUGGACGAAAGGCUGACCGAGCAACGCAGCGUGAGUGAAGAAGGUUUUCGGAUCGUAAAGCUCUGUUGUAAGAGAAGAACGGGUGUGAGAGUGGAAAGUUCACAAUGUGACGGUAUCUUACCAGAAGGGGACGGCUAACUACGUG
rnacentral:rRNA from 1 species